GCUGCUACUCACUCUCUCAUUAUUAUCUUCGGCUGCUAUCCCUAACCCUCUCAAAAAUUAUUAUUACUUUCACUUUUUGUUAUUCCUUCCAUUCCAUCAAAUGUAGACAAAUAGCUGCCAUGAGCGACCCCUUGGUAUGUUUAACUACCCACAGCUUCAUUAUAGAGAUCGGAUGCUAUUACUUGAUAAUGAUUUCGAUUUCCUGUUGUCAUCUACAAACCACUUUCAAGAUCAAGUAUGAUUUCUUUGAUUAAACAAGGUGAAACAGGAUUGCACCUACCUCAGCAUGAGGAAGACCAUCACCCAUGUUGGAAGGGAGACAUGUAGCACUACACAGUCCGAGAAUCUCCUUGUGUGCACAAGAGGCAUGAGAUAACAAUUACCCUUCUGUCAUUCUUUGCAUGGGAUUGCCGAAGAAAGAAUCUAUGACAAAAGAUUAUUGCUGUUGCAAUAGAUACUUGAGAUCUGCAUCAGAUUUAAAUCAGUAUCAACGUCAGAAUAAACGAAGGAAAGUAACUAGAGACACGAGUGAGAGAGCAGAGAAAUGGAUGAAUAUGAUUUGGCAACGUUGGCAACAACUUAGUAACAUUACAUUCGACAUUCCCAACUCAAUAGUGUCCCACAACUUGAUUCAACUCAUAUCAACAACACAAAGGGUUCAAUACUAUAAUUAAUAUUUCCAAUGUAGCGUAGAAUCAACCAUCUAUCUAAUAAAUAAUGAUCAACGCCUAAAGUUAGGCAUACAUUCGACAACAAUACCACAUCAAGUCAAGAGAAGAGGCAAUAGAGGAGGCUGAGGCUGCAGAAGCAGAUGCAGAUGCAAACAUAGGCUUUUGUAGAAGCUGCAGGGAAAAGAUGGCAAAUCUUGGCUUUUCGUUCCAUUGCAAUACUAUAGCUAAAUACAUUUAUAGGACACGUAGAAUCUCAAAAGGUCAUCCAUACACAUACUUCGCAGUUAAAAUACGAUUAUGUAAUGAUUUAUGUAUAUCAUAGACUGAUAUAACGCGACAUGCAAUAAUGUAAGUGGUUGGAAGUGAAUAGGAAAAUCACGCCACUAUUACUUUGUUGAGGGAAUGUAAUUAUUAAUGUGAAACUGAGCUAUGCUAUGACAAAAGUUUGUGUGAA